CCUGGUAGUCCACGCCGUAAACGAUGUCUACUUGGAGGUUGUGGCCUUGAGCCGUGGCUUUCGGAGCUAACGCGUUAAAGUAGACCGCCUGGGGAGUACGGUCGCAAAGAUUAAAAACUCAAAAUGAAAUUGACGGGGGCCCGCACAAAGCGGUGGAGCAUGUGGUUUAAUUCGAUGCAAACGCGAAAGAACCUUACCUACUCUUGACAUCCAGAGAAACUUUCCAGAGAUGGAUUGGUGCCUUCGGGAACUCUGAGACAGGUGCUGCAUGGCUGUCGUCAGCUCGUGUUGUGAAAUGUUGGGUUAAGUCCCGCAACGAGCGCAACCCUUAUCCUUGUUUGCCAGCGAGUAAUGUCGGGAACUCCAGGGAGACUGCCGGUGAUAAACCGGAGGAAGGUGGGGACGACGUCAAGUCAUCAUGGCCCUUACGAGUAGGGCUACACACGUGCUACAAUGGCGCAUACAGAGGGCGGCCAACUUGCGAGAGUGAGCGAAUCCCAAAAAGUGCGUCGUAGUCCGGAUUGGAGUCUGCAACUCGACUCCAUGAAGUCGGAAUCGCUAGUAAUCGUGGAUCAGAAUGCCACGGUGAAUACGUUCCCGGGCCUGUACACACCGCCCGUCACACUUUGGGGGGGGCAGCAAAAGGAGUAGGUAUUUCCCUCGGGGGGACGCUUAC
rnacentral:rRNA from 1 species